GGCUUUAUGGUCUAGUCGUAUGAUUCCUCGUUUGGGUGCUAGGUUCACUUAUACCUUAAUCGAGGAGGUCGCCGGUUCAAUUCCGGCUGAGGCCC